AGAGAUCUGGAGGGGCUCAGGUGGAAAGAUUGACGCACUUGUCUCUGGUAUAGGGACUGGAGGUACAGUGACAGGUGCAGGGAAGUAUCUCAAAGAACAAAAUCCUAAUAUUAAGUUAUAUGGCGUUGAACCUGUUGAAAGUGCAAUUCUAUCUGGAGGAAAGCCUGGCCCACAUAAAAUCCAAGGAAUUGGGGCAGGCUUCAUCCCUGGAGUUUUGGAUGUCAAUUUGCUAGAUGAAGUUAUUCAAGUAUCAAGUGAAGAAUCUAUUGAAACUGCAAAGCUGCUUGCAUUGAAAGAAGGUCUACUGGUUGGUAUAUCAUCUGGCGCGGCCGCGGCUGCUGCAAUUAGGAUUGCAAAGAGACCAGAAAAUGCUGGAAAGCUUAUUGUUGCGGUAUUCCCGAGUUUUGGGGAACGAUACCUCUCAACCGUGCUGUUCGAGUCUGUGAAACGAGAGACUGAGAAUAUGGUUUUCGAGCCAUGAGAGGUUUAUGUAAUAUUUUCUUGCUUCAAAUGGAGAGCCAGCCAGUUGAACCUGCAAAUUUCCCAUGAGUCAAAGCAAAGAAAGAAAGUGAACUUCAAGCGGUUCUUUUUAGCUUUCGAUGCUUUUGCUUAUACCUGUAGUGAUUUGAAUAACUUGUUUCCUUAAUAGCUUCUUUCGUUUAUGGUUUGCUCAGUUUUAGUGGAUAAACACAGAUGCAGCUGAGAAUAAGGAUAGUCUUUCAUGUAUUCCCUUCUGUCGAAUAAUGUAUG
rnacentral:misc_RNA from 1 species